GGUGCAGGUGAUAGAGGUCAGAUACAACAGGGUCAGGGGCAUGCCAGAGUUUUUUCCUUGACUCAGUAGGAUGCUCAGGCAUCCAACACAGUUGUUUUAGAUAAUCCUGAUAUUCUACCGGCGGGAUGUUAGUAGGAUUUUCUUCGGUGUCUGCUUUUGAUUUCUGUUUGCUUUCGAGUCAGGCUUAUAGCUUGAUAGCAGGUCACUUUUGUUGGACCUUC